rnacentral:misc_RNA from 1 species
GUUUGUUAAUGGGAAAUUUCAUUGGCUUGAUAAGCACUGGAACAUUAUUUCUAUGGAUUUGGCGGGUGAGAAAUGGGAAGAGGUUGAUCAGCCCUGCUGUUUUAAAGGAUGUGGAUUUUUGAAGCUAGGAGUGUUUGAGAGUGAUCUUUCUGUGUUUUGUAAUUACGCGUGGACUCAUGUUGAUGUAUGGGUUAUGAAGGAAUAUGGAGUAAAAGAAUCUUGGACAAAGAUGUUCACCGUCAAGUCACCCGAAGAUUCUGGGGGACGUAUAUUUUAUCCAAUUAUUUUAAUGUCAAAUGAAGGUGAAAUUUUGCUUAAGUUUGGAUCACGUUUCGUGAAAUACAAUCCAAAGGAUGACUCAAUCAGAUAUCUAGAUGUUACUAAGUUAGCUCCAUGUCUUGAGGUACAAAUAUAUGUUAAGAGCCUAGUUUGCCCUUUUUACUGAUGAGAUCGCGAUUUCACCAACAAAGCAGGCCGAAAUAAUUCUGAUGAAGACAAUUGUGUGAUUGAUACCUGUAAGAGUUACACUCUAUGCAAUUUUCUCAAGUGUUGUUAAAUUCUAC